rnacentral:rRNA from 1 species
GUGGGGAAUAUUGCACAAUGGGCGAAAGCCUGAUGCAGCAACGCCGCGUGAGGGACGACGGCCUUCGGGUUGUAAACCUCUUUUAGUAGGGAAGAAGCGAAAGUGACGGUACCUGCAGAAAAAGCACCGGCUAACUACGUGCCAGCAGCCGCGGUAAUACGUAGGGUGCAAGCGUUAUCCGGAAUUAUUGGGCGUCAAGAGCUCGUAGGCGGUCUGUCGCGUCUGCUGUGAAAACUGGAGGCUCAACCUCCAGCCUGCAGUGGGUACGGGCAGACUAGAGUGCGGUAGGGGAGAUUGGAAUUCCUGGUGUAGCGGUGGAAUGCGCAGAUAUCAGGAGGAACACCGAUGGCGAAGGCAGAUCUCUGGGCCGUAACUGACGCUGAGGAGCGAAAGCGUGGGGAGCGAACAGGAUUAGAAACCCCUGUAGUCC